GUGUUCGGUAAUCCCUGAUGUAACUCACAGAAUUGUCAUGAGAACCAGAAGGUGGAAGAGAAAAAAUGGUGUGAAAAGUGAGACACGCUGCUGUGAAGAGCCCUUCCUGGUUGUUGCAGCCGUAAGUUUGAGAACCGCUUGGUGAAUGCCCAGCCUCUCCAGACUAGAGUCAGCUUAACAUACCCCAGCUUGGGCUACUGGAAUGGAGGACGCAAGAUCCGGCUCAGCCCAGGAAUACCUCAGAAGGGCCCUGGAAAUGUCUGACUGGAGCCAGCGGCUGACUGGGCUGCUUACAGAAGCAGUGUCCAGGCCAUGGGGUGACCGUCUUACUACGCGUCGGCUCCGCUGUCUGGGGGCGGCGCGGCACCUCGGCUGUGGGU